AUACGCUGGCGGCGUGCUUAACACAUGCAAGUUCAAACGAACCUUCGGGUUAGUGGCGGACGGGUGAGUAACGCGUGAGAAUCUGCCCUCAGGAGGGGGACAACAGCUGGAAACGGCUGCUAAUACCCCAUAUGCCGCGAGGUGAAAUGAAUUUCGCCUGAGGAUGAGCUCGCGUCUGAUUAGCUAGUUGGUGUAGGUAAUGGCUCACCAAGGCAUCGAUCAGUAGCUGGUCUGAGAGGAUGAUCAGCCACACUGGGACUGAGACACGGCCCAGACUCCUACGGGAGGCAGCAGUGGGGAAUUUUCCGCAAUGGGCGAAAGCCUGACGGAGCAACGCCGCGUGAGGGAUGAAGGCCUCUGGGCUGUAAACCUCUUUUAUCAAGGAAGAAGAUCUGACGGUACUUGAUGAAUAAGCCACGGCUAAUUCCGUGCCAGCAGCCGCGGUCAAUACGGGACGUGGCCAACGCGUUACUCCUGGCACAUUCUCUGGCGCGUACCCGCGUCCGCACGGCCGUGUCCUUUCACGUCCUUGC
rnacentral:rRNA from 1 species